rnacentral:rRNA from 1 species
UACGUAGGUGGCAAGCGUUGUCCGGAUUUAUUGGGUUUAAAGGGUGCGUAGGCGGGUAUUUAAGUCAGAGGUGAAAGACGGCCGCUCAACGGUCGCAGUGCCUUUGAUACUGGAUAUCUUGAGUGCAGACGAGGUCUGUGGAAUGGAUGGUGUAGCGGUGAAAUGCUUAGAUACCAUCCAGAACACCAAUUGCGAAGGCAGCAGACUAGGGUGCAACUGACGCUGAGGCACGAAAGUGCGGGGAUCAAACAGG